rnacentral:tRNA from 1 species
CAACAAAUAAUUUAAUAAAAAUAUUAGUCUUGGGUAUUAAAUAUGUAGGGUUUUCUACUUUGUUGA